CAAAUAUUCAAAUGAGAACUUUGAAGACUGAAGCGGGGAAAGGUUCCACGUGAACAGCAAUUGGACGUGGGUUAGUCGAUCCUAAGAGAUAGGAGAAAUCCGUUUCAAAGCGAAUGUUCUUCGGUACAUUCCGCCUAUCGAAAGGGAAUCUGGUUAAUAUUCCAGAACCAGGACGUUGAUAUUGAUUGGUAACACAAGCAAA
rnacentral:rRNA from 11 species